rnacentral:snRNA from 1 species
GUUCCUUUGGAAACAUUUGAUUAAAUUGGAACGGUAUAGAGAAGAUGCAUGGCCCAAGGAUAAUAUGGACAAAUCGAGAAGAUCUUAAUAAAUUU